rnacentral:rRNA from 1 species
UUUAUGCUUUAGUGGCGAACGGGUGCGUAACACGUGAGAAUCUGCCCUUAGGAGGAGAAUAACUUCUGGAAACGGUUGCUAAGUCUCCAUAUGCCGAGAGGUAAAAUAGUUUACACUGCCUAGGGAUGAGCUCACGCCUGAUUAGCUUGUUGGUAAGGUAAUGGCUUACCAAGGCCACGAUCAGUAGCUGGUUUGAGAGAACGAUCAGCCACACUGGGACUGAGACACGGCCCAGACUCCUCCGGGAGGCAGCAGUGAGGAAUUUUCCGCAAUGGGCGAAAGCCUGACGGAGCAAUACCGCGUGAGGGAUGAAGGAUUUUGGUCUGUAAACCUCUUUUCUCAAGAAAGAAGUUCUGACGGUACUUGAGGAAUAAGCAUCGGCUAACUCCGUGCCAGCAGCCGCGGUAAUACGGGGGAUGCAAGCGUUAUCCGGAUUUAUUGGGCGUAAAGCGCCUGUAGGUUGUUUAAUAAGUCUGUUGUU